ACUAACUUCGUUGGGUUAAGUUUUAUUUGUUACUAAGGAGCUGUAGUGUUGGCGGAAAUCAACGUAGUAGCUGAUGCUUUGCUCAAUAAUUGGAGCAUGUUGGAUGUAAAUGGCAUCAGAGGGUGGUUUACACUGAAGCGCAUAAGAAAAGGAAAAACAUAAAACCUUCCUGAAGUCUGUAACCAGAUGGCAUCACCAAGCAGUCUCAGAGAGAAAAUUAAAAGUAAACGCAAAGCCCUGCAAGAAUCUUUAACUGCUACGAAAGAUGAAGGCGACACUCAGGUUAGUAUAACCUUCAGCUACUUGUAGGAUACUGAAAUCAUUUCAGGUGUUUUUAAGCCAUACUUAGAAAAGCUCAUUGUAAAGCUUGCUAACGUAUAGUAGUCUGUGAAAAAUGCAACUCUGCAUACCCCAGUA